rnacentral:rRNA from 1 species
UACGUAGGGUGCGAGCGUUAAUCGGAAUUACUGGGCGUAAAGCGUGCGCAGGCGGUUCGUGAUGUCUGAUGUGAAAGCCCCGGGCUCAACCUGGGAACUGCAUUGGAAACUAGCGGGCUGGAGUGUGGCAGAGGGGGGUGGAAUUCCACGUGUAGCAGUGAAAUGCGUAGAGAUGUGGAGGAACACCGAUGGCGAAGGCAGCUCGCUGGGACGUAACUGACGCUGAGACGCGAAAGCGUGGGGAGCAAACAGG